rnacentral:rRNA from 1 species
GUGACCUCAAAUCAGGUAGGACUACCCGCUGAACUUAAGCAUAUCAAUAAGCGGAGGAAAAGAAACUAACAAGGAUUCCCCUAGUAACUGCGAGUGAAGCGGGAAAAGCUCAAAUUUAAAAUCUGACAGUCUU